AAGUCGUAACAAGGUUUCCGUAGGUGAACCUGCGGAAGGAUCAUUAAUGAAUUAUAAGGGUGCUCCCUCUCAUCAGAGAGGCCCGAACUCUUCAUUCUUCUACACUGUGCACCAUAUCUACAUUCUUGAAGAAGAAUUAAGCUUUGCUUGAUUUUUUCUCAAGGUGUAACCAUUUUUUUAAACUCUACAAAAAGUCUAAGAAUGAAUACAAAACCAAAAAAUAUAAAAAAA
rnacentral:misc_RNA from 1 species